rnacentral:rRNA from 1 species
AACGAACGCUGGCGGCAGGCCUAACACAUGCAAGUCGAGCGAAGCCUUCGGGCUUAGCGGCGGACGGGUGAGUAACGCGUGGGAACGUGCCCUUUGCUACGGAAUAGCCCCGGGAAACUGGGAGUAAUACCGUAUGUGCCCUUCGGGGGAAAGAUUUAUCGGCAAAGGAUCGGCCCGCGUUGGAUUAGGUAGUUGGUGGGGUAAUGGCCUACCAAGCCGACGAUCCAUAGCUGGUUUGAGAGGAUGAUCAGCCACACUGGGACUGAGACACGGCCCAGACUCCUACGGGAGGCAGCAGUGGGGAAUCUUAGGCAAUGGGCGCAAGCCUGAUCUAGCCAUGCCGCGUGAUCGAUGAAGGCCUUAGGGUUGUGAAGAUCUUUCAGGUGGGAAGAUAAUGACUGUACCACCAGAAGAAGCCCCGGCUAACUCCGUGCCAGCCGCCGCCGUAA